AUUGAACGCUGGCGGAAUGCUUUACACAUGCAAGUCGAACGGCAGCACGGACUUCGGUCUGGUGGCGAGUGGCGAACGGGUGAGUACUGUAUCGGAACGUGCCCAGUCGUGGGGGAUAACGUAGUGAAAAUUACGCUAAUACCGCAUACGAUCUAUGGAUGAAAGCGGGGGAUCGCAAGACCUCCCGCGAUUGUAGCGGCCGAUAUCAGAUUAGGGAGUUGGUGGGGUAAAGGCCCACCAAGCCAACGAUCUGUAGCUGGUCUGAGAGGACGACCAGCCACACUGGAACUGAGACACGGUCCAGACUCCUACGGGAGGCAGCAGUGGGGAAUUUUGGACAAUGGGCGAAAGCCUGAUCCAGCCAUUCCGCGUGCAGGAUGAAGGCCCUCGGGUUGUAAACUGCUUUUGUACAGAACGAAAAGGUUUCUACUAAUACUAGGAGCUCAUGACGGUACUGUAAGAAUAAGCACCGGCUAACUACGUGCCAGCAGCCGCAGUAA
rnacentral:rRNA from 1 species